ACUUGUCCUUACUUUGGCCAACUUGAUGUUUAUUUUGUUUGACUGAACCUUUUCUCUUGUGAUUUGUUUUAUUUUAAAUGUUUACAGAAGUUGUCUGUUUAUGAGAACAUAUUUGAUAUUGUGUUUGUUUAUUAUUUUGAUUGACGUAUUUAGCCCCCAUUAACUGCGUUUCCCUCUUUGUUUCCCAACGUAGUUACUGAGAGCUGAAGCUGGUGCUGCUGGUGUCCAAGGUGGUGGUCUUCCUCCCUCCUUCUGUCGGUGAUGUGCUCCCCCGGGAUUUGAUUUCCUGCACGUAUGACUGGGGUGAUUUAAGUUUGGUUUGUUUGGGGAUCCUUCCACUCACUCGUCGACCCUAUCCCCCCACUGACUCGCAUCCUGGUGACUCAUGGAGUGAGCUUCCUCCCAUACACUGUAUGUAGAUGAAAUAGUGGUCUUGGUGGAUGGAGUGGUAUCAGAGGUUGGGUCCUAUAAAAGCAUUCGUGCCAGCAGGGGAGCGUUUUCUGAAUUUCUAUACACAUAUGCCAAAGAGCAAAGAAAUCGGACCAAUUCAGAGCCAGGUAAUCACAGCCUUCUUCUAGCUGCAUUUUUGAUGUAAGAAAAACAAAAUACUCCCAUUUUGUUCAGGUUUCUGUUAGAAUGAGCAGAGGGAGGCUCUGGGGAUGGGAACAUUAUUCAAAACAAACAGCGAUGGUUAAGAAACUGGUCUUAGGACAGCAUAUACAGUUGGUGUAUCUGCAUUACCAUUGUUUUAGCUGACAGCAAAUGUUUUUCGUAAACCCACUGAUACUUUACGUAGUAACCCUGAUUUAGAGUUUGUUUGUGAUUUUUGUAAUAAACGUUAUAUAUGCAUUUCAUUUGUUCAUGUAAAUCAGGGAUGGGCAACUUGGAUGGUGGUGGGGGCCACAUCAUUUAUGUACUGGCCACCAGGGGGCCGCAGAUUCACUUGGAACACACACAAGACCCGCAUCAGAAAGCUUUUGAAUGGGGGUACUUUUCCAGUUGAUCUACCUGCUCUUCACGUAGCUCUGCAUGUCGUCGUUUAGGUGCUUUCUGGAGAUAGGCACUGCUCAAUCCACUCCUCCAUAAGGCCACCCCGGAGGUCCAAGUUAAGGGAACAACACACACACACACACACACACACACACACACACACACACACACACACACACACACACACACACACACACACACACACACACACACACACACACACACACACACACACGCUGGAAGCCCACUAACUUUUUGGCAUGUUGGAUGACGGUGUCUAAAAAGCGUCUGGAGAAGUUCCUGGGAGGCGAGGACCUUAAAACUGAUGUUGUGCUCCAUGACCCCAGUUUCAACUCUGCUGUUAGUGUACAAGAUGGCUCCUUUGCUUGGGAAAGACAAUCUGAGCCUCUGCUGAAAAAUGUUUCCUUAGAUAUUAAGCCAGGUCGGUUGGUGGCAGUAGUGGGAGCUGUGGGUUCAGGAAAGUCUUCUCUCAUGUCAGCCCUCCUGGGAGAGAUGCACUCCACCAAAGGGCUUCAUUAACAUUCAGGAUUCUCUAGCCUUUGAGCAGGCCUGGAUCCAAAAUGCGACUCUGAAAGACAACGUCCUGUUUGGCUCUCAACAUGACAAGACCAGGUUCCAGGAGGUGAUCCAGGCCUGCGCCCUGGACCCUGACCUGGAGCUGCUGCCUGGUCGUGAACUCACGGAGGUUGGAGAGAAAUGGUUAGAUUCUACAAGGAUAAAAGGAUGGGGCCCUCCAGAGACACAAGUCGCAACUAAGAACGGUUGCCUGGGCAACCCUAGAGCCCUCCCCUGCUGUAGGAGCAUAUAAAGAAAGCAGAUCAUAUGCGAUAUGCAGACAGCCACUGACCUUUGAGAGAGACAACUAUGGACCACCUGCUGUUUUUAAUUCUGCUGA